GGUGAAGAACGUAGCGAAAUGCGAUACGUAAUGUGAAUUGCAGAAUUCAGUGAAUCAUCGAGUCUUUGAACGCACAUUGCGCCCCCUGGUAUUCCGGGGGGCAUGCCUGUCCGAGCGUCAUUGCUGCCCUCAAGCACGGCUUGUGUGUUGGGCCUCCGUCCUCCUCCCGGGGGACGGGCCCGAAAGGCAGCGGCGGCACCGCGUCCGGUCCUCGAGCGUAUGGGGCUUCGUCACCCGCUCUUGUAGGCCCGGCCGGCGCUUGCCGACACAUCAAUCUUUUUUCCAGGUUGACCUCGGAUCAGGUAGGGAUACCCGCUGAACUUAAGCAUACAAUAAGCGGAGGA
rnacentral:misc_RNA from 1 species